rnacentral:rRNA from 1 species
UACGUAGGGUGCGAGCGUUUAAUCGGAAUUACUGGGCGUAAAGUGUGCGCAGGCGGCCGCGCAAGUCGAGUGUGAAAGCCCCGAGCUUAACUUGGGAAUUGCGCUCGAAACUACGUGGCUGGAGUGUGGCAGAGGAAGGUGGAAUUCCACGUGUAGCGGUGAAAUGCGUAGAGAUGAUGGAGGAACACCAAUGGCGAAGGCAGCCUUCUGGGCCAACACUGACGCUCAUGCACGAAAGCGUGGGGAGCAAACAGG